AUUGAACGCUGGCGGCAUGCCUAACACAUGCAAGUCGAACGAGUGGCGGACGGGUGAGUAAUAUCUGGGUAACUUCCCGAUGGGGGGGGAUAACUCCUGGAAACGGUAGCUAAUACCGAAUACUGUCGGAUGUGUCCAGAUGGGAUUAGCUCGUAGGUGGGGUAACGGCUCACCUAGGCGACGAUCCCUAGCUGGUCUGAGAGGAUGACCCGCCGCACUGGAACUGUGACACGGUCCAGCGGCCUACGGGAGGCAGCAGUGGAGAAUAGUGGGCAAUUGGAGAAAGCCUGAUGCAGCGAUGCCGCGUGUAUGAAGAAGGCAUUCGGGUUGUAAGGUACUUACAGCGUGGAGGCGUUACUCGCAGAAGAAGCGCCGGCUAACUCCGUGCCAGCAGCCGCGGUAAUUC
rnacentral:rRNA from 1 species